UGGCCCCCCUAGGCUGAUUCUGAUAGAGCCCACAGCUCACUGUCCAUUUGACCACAGGGCACAGGCAUCUGACAGAAUCAUUAAGACCAUUCCUUGAAGAGCGAGUGUUGGUAUUGCUUUUAAUAUUUUAUCACCUGGCAGCGUCUCGUGGAAAACACUCAUUUGUAGCCUCUUCCUGUGCCCUGCCCAGCCUGCUAUUAACAGUCCCCAAAGCCUUCUUAAAAAGUGUGCUUCUCCUCGUGAUUUCCCAAAACUCCUUCUCAACAGACAGGGUUGAUGUAUAGCUGGGCGAACAUCCUUUUCUCCUUGAGCUUUUACGGAGGAUGUGAGGGAAAGGGCUCUUCUUACCAAAUGAGGGAGAAAAGACUCUCGAAGCCAUUAUGUGUCUGACACCAAUUCAAUUACCCCAUCCGUGCCCUUUUCAGCGAAGCGCUUCCUAAACUUCAUUAGCGCUGCGGCGGCGCUCCAGCUGCCAUCGUGCCCUUCACCGGAGCCAGUGCUGCGCGGGGAGGACAGAGCUCCACGCGGCAGGGACUGCAGCGUCCCUCACUCCCGAGCAAGGGCGGCCUCAGUCCUCCCCCCGGCUGAGUGGAGGGUCCAGGUGAGCGUCCGGGCCCCAAUCCGAAGCUGCCCCAGCCUGGCUCCCAUCACCCAGAGUGUCAAGUUAUCUUUUAAGAAAAAUGUAAGACAUAGGGUUGCACCCUCUCCUUUGGCUCGUUUCUCGUAAGGAAAAUAGCACUAGAGUCUGUCCCCCUGGCCCGGCAGAGCCAGCCUCCCUGCCGCCGAUGCUGGUGCACGUGUCUGCUGGACCAAAGCUUACCGCAGGCGCAAGGGACGGUGCCUUGCUCGUGGGUGCAGCCGCUGACCGCUGCUGGGUGGUGAGUGAUACCGGGGAGACUGAGUUCUUAAGAACUAUGGUCCCAGAACCAAAGGAAAGAUCUUCAAAGGCCUGGUCGGUAUGGAGGAUGGAACUGCUUGCCUUUGAAAAGACCCUUCCCCUCCCCGGCUCCCGUAAGUUGCUGGAUUCUUACGCAGCCGAGGGGGAAGGGAGGAGACCUGCCUCCCGGAAUAUGACUGACAUCGAGCCUCCUUGCUGCCGCGGCGGCCGGAGUGUGGAGUCCUCAAUAAGUAUCUGUAUCAUGAACGAAUGACCCAUCCUGAGGCCUUGCAAGAUCUUCAAUUACGAAAUGAAAAUUCAACUGUUCUUCCUAAGCUGUGUGUUUUCAAAGACAAGAAGUGGGCACUCACCAUCUCCUCCUGCGUCCUUAGCUAGCGUGUACAUGAUGUAGUUAUUUGUCCAUAGUCUGUUUCCCCCAGAUUUUGCCUUUCCCACCCCUGAAUCCCCAGUGUCUAGAACAGUAACCUAGCAUGUAGUAGGAGCUCAAGAGAUAUUUGUUAAGUAAUGAGUGAAUUUAACCUGCAAAUAUGACUGCCCAGGCCUGGGGUAUCCUCUCGAAGUGAGAUUUGAUUGGUGUGACUUUCAGAAACAGAAAUAGAUGUUGGAGCUGGGAGGGGCCUUGGGAUCAUUGACUUCUGCCCCUUCACAGCACUGUUGGGGUGACAGAGCGAGGGCCCCUGACAACUGAGGCCUGGGAGUUCCCUCUGUGACGAGAGGAGACGCCCAGCCCCGAGGCUCUGUGGUGUCCGCUCCAGCAUCACUGGGCCCACGGGCCAGAGGGAAAUUCCACCGACGGUAAGAGCUACCUGAGGCAGUGCUAAAUAAAUCCUCAGUGACUGAGCCGGGAGCCAAACACAUUUAUUCCUGUCAUCGGUCCAAUUCUGUGCAGCUGGGACAGAGCCCAAGGCGCUUGGGGACGCCAUAAAUCUGCUCUUUAGGCCCCACCCAUUUCUCUGCCAAGCAGAUGUGGUAGCCGGGAGCCAAGGUUUGGGGAGCUCAGUGCUGGGCCGAGAGCAGGAAGGAGCUCCAGGCCCCGUGAGUUGGAAGUCUCAAGAAGGGCUGGCUGGCUUCUCCACGUCUCCCCUGCCCAGGAGGUCUGCGAGCAGGCUUUUAGCAGUGACUUCCCCAGAAGGAAGGGAUAAAGCCCUGGCCAGGUACAGAGGCAGCGGGGUAAGGGCCAUGCCUGGGCUCCAUCCUGCCUUGGGUCCUUGGCCCUCUGCCACCGUGAGUCUGGACAAGGGGCUUCUCUGCUCUGAGCCCUCACUUCCCUCCUCCAUGAGCAGGGACAGUAGCAGCUGUUUUGCAUUGUUAUGAGAAUAAAAUGAAAUUAUGCAUGUAUGUAAUCCGUGCAUAGCAAGUGCUAACAAUUACCAUCUCUUAAGGUUGUUGAGGGUCCAAGGCCAUCCCUCAUUGAGUAGCCCACAGGUAGCUCAAAGUGCAGAGCUGGCCGAAGGCCCGGGAUCCUUCCCCAGUGCUACCCGAGCUGCUGUGAAUGUAACUCACUGAAAGCAAACUCCAGUUCUGACACGGGCGGGGCCCGUCCUGCCAAGGUACAGUACAGCCUCGAGUGGAUUUAUUAACCAGAAGGAACUGGCAGUACAGCUUGGGAGCCAGACACCUGCUAGGCACUCCGUAUACUUCAUGAUCCCUUUUGUAUUAAUAGAAGAGGACAUCGUCGGAGCACAGAGAGGACCAGGCUGUAUCCAAAGCCACACAGCAUGAUAAAUGGUGAAAUGGGGGUCCUCAUAUUGCCAAGUUACUGCACCAGAAGAUUGUCUCUCCUCCAGAAACUGCUAAACCCUAUUCUGUUUUGCAAAUUCUGGAAUUUUCCAUUCCCUUUAACGCCACUUGUAAUGAAGGCUUCCUAAUGCAUCUUGGGAAGGGACGUGCUAACUGGUGCUAUCCACAAACUCUCUUCUUCCACAUACUAGUCACAGUAAGCGCCACGCCUUUAAAUAAUGCUAAGAAUUCUUUUCAGGAUAUUUGUGGCAUGAAGAGAAAGCCCUUAGCGCUUUCUCGCAGCUGUGUUCCUCUAGGUUGGGAAUUGUAAUAGAGAGGCCCAGGGCUGGUGCUGACUGAAAGGAAAGUGUCUCAAAUCCUCUGGGCCUGCGGUCCCCAACCCCUGAGCUGCGGACGGGUACCAGGUCCGUGGCCUGUUAGGAACCCAGCGGUACAGCAGGAGGUGAGCAGCAGGCAAGCAAGCAGCUUCGUCUGUGUUUACAGCCACCCCAUCACUCAUACCACUGCGUGAGCUCCGCCUCCUGUCAGAUCAGCUUCGGCAUUAGAUUCUCAUAGGAGCUCGAACCCUACUAUAAACUGCACAUGUAGGAAAUCUAGGUUCAUGUUCCCUAUGAGAAUUUAAAAUGCCUGAUGAUCUGAGAUGGAGCUGGGUGGUGAUACUAGCACUGACAGGCAAGUGGCUGCAAAUACAGAUUAUCAUUAACAGAGAGGUUUGACUGUGCAGUAAAUGCAAUGCGCUUGAAUCAUCCUGAAAGCAUCCUCCCACCCGCCCUUGUCCUUGGAAAACCUGUCUCCCAUGAAACUGGUCCCUGGUGCCAAAAAGGUUGGGGACCGCUGCUCUGGGUGACUUAGACCUCUUGAAUGCUCCCAAAACACUCACCUUCAGUGCAGGAGGGGAGAGGACGUGGAGUCUUCAGGUGCUGAAUAAAUGCUACCUGGAACGAGGCUACUCAGUGGAAGCUGUUGGAGAAAUACAGCUGGGAGGAUGGACGCUGAGUGAUUCAGACACCCUGGAGUUCCACAUUUGACCUUUGGCUUCCAUGUGAGAUUAAGGGACAAGACUCUUUUCUAAAGCCAUUUUCUAUUUUCAUAAUUAGCUCAAGGGCUAUAUGGUGGAAGUGGGGAACCCAAAGUCUACGGAGACUAUUUCCUCUUAUUUUGAUGUAUGCAAGUGGCUUGUAGCUUUUUAUAAUAAAUAUUUUGUAAACUCCCUUUUAAUAUCCCAAAUGAAAUUCAUGGAUUGCAUAACCUAUCUAUACACACUGUUUUAAAAAAUUGUGUAAUACCCUAACCCUAACACAGGAUUUCUCAUCCUUAGCACUGUUGACAUUUGAGAUCACAUUACUCUUUUGGCAAGGUACGGGGGGCGGAGGGGGGGGGCGAGUGUCCUGUGCAUUGUAGGAUACUUAGCAGCAUCCCAGGCCUCUUCCCAGUGGAUGCCAGAAGCACCCAGUAGUGGUAACCAAGUAUCUCCAGAUAUUGCUAAAUGUCCCAGGGAGGGGUGGGGAAAAUGCCCCCAACUGAGAAUCACUCCCCUAACAUAAAGGAUAAAUAAAAAGAAGAUAAUGUUGUAAUAAAAUACCAUAUAUUUAGAAACAUUCCUAUUGUUUAAUGCCACUCUUAUGCUCAAGCAUGGCUGCACAGGGGGACACAAUGAAGCCGCCAGAUGCCGGCACCUACUACGAAUGCAUGGGUUUGGAUAAGAAGAUCAGAAGCUAUUUGUACAAGGAGAACAGAAAAAUGAAAGAGCAAAGCUCCCUCUCCAGCUAAGCAUGAAGAUGCCUCCUGAGACGGCCCGACUGCUGCUGCCUCUGCCCCCUGCUCCUGGCAUUUCCAAAGAGAUCUGUGUUCCAGAGAGCCUCUGCUGCAUAUCCGGCUUUUCAUGCCUCUUGCCAUAGGUUGCAGUUGUAUGAUCUGCUUGUCCUUGACGUCCCUUCAUAGCACUGGAGACCGUGGUAAGAGAUCAACAAACCCCUGUCCUCAACUUGGAACUUAAAGUUAAAGUAACUUUAAAAAUGUGGACAGCCGGGCAUGGUGGCUCACACCUGUAAUCCCA